GGACACUAGCAAGAAGUUUGCCUGACCCUCCUUUAUCACUCACUUUGAGGAUGCUGUUUGCCUUACGUAAACAUCGUGAUCUGAGUAGCUUCAAGAGGAAGGCAGUCUUAAACCAGAGCCUAAUGGCAGACUCGCGGUCAACUCCAGAGUGUUACUAAGCUCUGAGGUAGGAAAUGGGAUGGAGUUCUGCCCCCAUGUACUCCUCAUGGGGCCCUGAAAAAGUAGACAGAGCUUUACAAGGCAGGCUGUGGGAUCUGGGGUUUAGUAGGGCUAGAUGGUUUUUUAAACACUGUUUGCUUCCUGCUUACUAGGAAUUUAAGACAGCACUGCUUAAGAAGUCUUGAUGCUUAGAUCUUAAACAAUUCAGCUCAUUCCAGCGGUAUAAUGCUGAAGUCACCAUUAAGAAACAGCCUUUCAUCUGUGGGUGUCAUUAAACUACAUGUAGAUUCACAGACUGGUUUGGGUUGGAAGGUAUCAUAAGGGUCAUCUAGUUCCAACCCCCUGUCACGGGCAGGGACACCUUCCACUAAGUUUCAGUUUUUCUGUAGAUAAAUGAUUAAACUAAGGCUGUGGUAUUUACCCUGAGCCUGUCGAACAGUUAGGAUAGGAAGAGUCUUGGUCUUUUGAUAACACCAGGGCAGUGCUUCAAAUUACUGGUUCAGUUUGCUCCUGAAAAGUGCUGGUUUUACCACUGGCUUUCAGUUAGUGUUACAUGCCUUAAGUAUUUACAUACUUACAUAAUAAUUAGCACUUGAAGUUAAAAAAUACGUGAUGUUUCAGGUUACUGCUGUCCCUCUCCCCCUGACAUCAGCAUUUGACUCCCUACCCUGAAGCUUUGUAUCACAUCAGUUACUUUAAAAAAUGAGGAAACACAGUGACAUUCUACCAUGUAGAUACCUGACAAGUGUCCUUAGAGCAGAGUUAAUGUGUUUGAACCUAAGGGAUCACUCCAGUGCUGAUUCAAUCUCAGUUUUAACAACGUAAGUCCCAUAUGUUUGAUUUAUAGUAUGUUGAUAGUAUUUUUUCCUUCUCCUUCUGCUAUUAAUUGACCAUGGUACUUAACUGGAGAGGGACAGAGGGAAUACGUGUUUUGUGGCAAGAGGCACCAAAGCUGUUGUACUCUGCCAGCAUUAUUUGCACUGCAAGAGGCUGCAGAGCUUAUCUGCAUCAACAUCUGCCACAGCAGGUUCCAUCCCACAAAAAUCUGAUAAUCCUUCUUUAUCCUGAUAACAUUAGCUUUUCACCACAUUGCAAGGCUGAGGGAUGAGGUACAUUAGUCUGCUCUGGUGCUGGAAUUCAGAAACUUCUGGUUUUGUAUUUAGAAGUGCAUGUGGAGUCUGAAGCCUGAGGAGCAUGUGCUUUCUACACAAACGUCAUUCAAGGUUGGCAGCUGAGACACAGCAACCUUGGCUACAAUAAGGAGAUCUCCAAGUGGAGCACAACUCUCAACUUUUCCUGUCAGACUUCUCUACAAUCUGUGCUAUCAAUUGGACACUGCAGUAAUGCUUCUUCAGAGUUUGAUUUGGGCUAAAAGUUACCCUGAGCUUGAAAACUCAGCAGCAGCCACGUGGCCCUUGAACUGGUAUAACUAUGAAUGCAGCUAUGGUGGAGGCUGUGGAGCCUGCUCGCAUCGCUGCUCCUUCUGUGCAGUGGGGGGUAUUCAGGAAACCAAGCAACCCUCGAGGAGCAGUAGAGUGUGAUAUUCCCCCUUUCUCCUCAUGGCUGCCUGAAACAUCCCAAAGCAAAGCAGAGCAGCCCCUGGGAGACUGGAAAUCUGGGAGAGGAGCAUCGCCUGUUCCCUCACAGAAGCAGUGCUCUUCAACUCACUGAGCCUUUCUCUAUCUAGAGACGAAAUGGGCAGCAAACGGGAAGAGAAUUCUGUUUUCUUGCAUUCAUUCAGCUUGGGAAACAGACUUCCCCAGACUGCUGGACAGCCCAGAGGGAAAUCAAGGGGACCAGAAGGGACCUCAUCAGGGUACCGCACAGAGAAGGGUGAAGCAAUGUCUGGCUGAGGAAGGAUCCCUCCAUGCCAGCACUAAGGGCACUGGCUGCACCCCCACCCUUGCUGGUCCUCAUUCUGCCAAAGCUUGUGAAGCCAGAGCUCAAGAGCCACCGGCACAGCAAAGACCACAAGGGCAUUUCUGCAGGUGCCAGAGGUGCCCAGCUGGAAAGCUUCCCAAAUCGGCACCGGGAUGUGCCACGCUGCAGCUGUCCAUGCUCCUCCCUGCGGACCCACUGCUGGCUGCAAGCGGACACAGCACAGUCCUCUCCCUGCCUACAGCCCUUCAAGAGAGCUUCAUGGACUGCUGGGCUCUGGAGUCCCACCAGCGGUGGCUCUGCAGGGAAAAGCAGCAAGGGCUCUUCAGCCACGUCUCCCCUUGCCGCUCCCUUCUGCCAGGUCAUGAAUGCCACACUGCGAUGUCACUGCCUUGCAGCCAGGGCACCACAGUGGUGUUUGAGAAUGUCCCCUGGGAACCUGCAGUUGGCACCACUUGGUGCAGUCAACCCUCGGCUGGUGUGUGACAGGACGAGUCCUGGCUCGCCAGAGCAACGGCUGCAGAAGUCAAGCCCAAAUGAGAGCAGAGUUUCACCAGCAUCUCCAGUUGUCCCGUCCUCUUUGGACAGUGAAAAACACUGUUCCAUAGCUCUGCACCUUUAACAUUCCCACUUGUCACUUAGUGCUCUUAAGUAAGAUAGACGUUCCAGCACGUGUCAUGGUAGCACCAAGAGGUCAGCAAAGGCUGAGCUCCUGUUGGCACUACACAGAAGAGCAGCCAGACACCGCUUUCUCUCUCUGAGGAUGAGAUGUUGGAAGAGAAAUCGAUCCAUGCAGCCGAUCAGUGGUGGGCAGUGGGCUGCACUGACUCUCCAGUUCUGUGUGCCUCCAACUGGCUGGGAAAUACAAAGUACUGCUGUGCCCUCAGGCAGUCAAAUUCACUGCAGAAAGGCCUAGCUUUAGUAAUUCUACAAGCUGUUCAGGGAGGAGAGGGAAGCUGCCAGGGGAGAUGGUUAAGUGGAUGCCACAGAAUUAGUGCUGGUUGAAACCAGGGCCGCUCUGACUUUCUGCAAACAGAUGUAUCUUUCCGUUCAGCAUGCAAAGGCAGCAAAUGCAACAGAUACAAGUUUUGUUCUGUGGUGUGCCCUCGUCACGUUGAUCUGCUCUUCCUCUCUGCAGGAAUUGUGUGGAAAGGAGAGCAGACGGCCACCCUGCAUCUUCAGGAGGUGCAAGGCCACUGGGAGUGCAAAGCUUUAGAAGGACCAGAGGAUUGCGUGCUUCCCUGUGCUGACCAAACUUGGUGCUUUUGUGUGCUUUGGUGCAACUAGAAAGGUCAGUGUCCUGCUGCCCACUCUGUUAAGUGUGGAUCCUUUUGGCUCCUCCCAUGUAACACUGUGUGGAAAAUCAACACCCUUCAGUAGGGGCAGACCGAUACCCUUCUCUAAUGCACAGAGUGAGGGCCCAAACUGCAUAUUUUGAGAUAAAGAUUUUUAACAAGAUUAUAGACUUAAACGUUAAGGCCAAACGUGGCCCAGCCAAAUGAUCAGUACUGUUUGGGAAGCAGCCUAAUGGAGAGAGAGGAAGAACCCAAAGCUCACUCCUUUGGCACUGUUGUGGUUCAUUAGAUGGCUGGUGCUGGACUGUACAGCAUCACCCGCCCCAGCCAGGCCUGCCCCUGCCCCAGUGCCUGUGUGGCAAUGCCCCU